CACUACACUCCGCAUCCUCAACGUUCACCGGUAGCUGCUGUUCACCUUCUCCGGCCAUUGAUGCGAUCCCUUUCUCAAUAAGAAAAAUUAUCAUUUUUUCAUUUAAAAUUUGUGAAAACUAGUUCUUUUUACCAAAAAAAGAAAACCCCAGAGCUUUCAUCGGCGCUCCCAGCUUCCUGCGGCAGGUGGUUCGGUCUUGUUUUUAUCUAAUUAUGCAAAAUUUCAGAUGCCGAAACAUCUUUCUACUCAAGAAUUCGUUGAUUCCAUCUUUCUUACCUGCAAAACAAUCGGCUACUGCUGCUACAACCCAUGUCGGUUCAUUUCAUUCCACGCCUGUUACCUGUGAAAAACGGAAGAACAAAGGGAAUUCUGAUAAAAGAAGCACUCAACAACCAACUAAG